rnacentral:misc_RNA from 1 species
GUAUAGCCCCGAUGGGAGCAAACUACCCUGCCGACAGGCAUGUAGUGCGGACAGCGGGAAUGACG